rnacentral:lncRNA from 1 species
CCUGCCUUUGCAGCUGUGCAGCAGUACUGGAGUAACUCGCCUGGUAGGGGUGACUAGUCUGUGGAUACUAUAGCUCAUUGGGUUGAUGUUCUUUGUCCUUUGGGAGGAAGAGGCACGAGUGAAUGGCCUGAGAAAAGGAAGCAUUUCCAGGUGCAACAGAAGGAGGACUUCACAUUUGGAAAGACUGCCUUUCCUGCUGAACUCCAAAGGAUUUCAAAGGAAGACUAUACAUUCUCCUGGAGUUUAUCUCUGUAUUCCAUGGGAGUUGUCUAUAAGAGAGCCUACAAACGUACUGGAUGCAUCUCAUGGCACUACCCUUCUUCACGUCCCAUUCACAUCUUUAUAUACAUAGCUGUGUGUGCAUGUGAGAGUAUGAGAAUUAAUGGUGGGAAUAAAGUAGAAACUCCUUUUCAAAUAACAAGGUAUAAAUAAUUGCUUAUAAUUAUGUAGGAUAAAGAAUGAAAACCAGAUGAUGGAAAGAUGAUAACCAGAAAGAUGGCCUCUAGUAAAAUCAGAAAGGUUAAUAAACAGUUCUACAGGCUAAAUGACAUGGAAAAAGAAGAUAUUUUGUUUAUUUUUUAGUAAAACAUGAUUUUAUUGAGGUAAAAUGCAAAUGUAAGAUUAACAGAUCUUUAUCAUUAAUUAAUCUUACUUAAGGAGGAUGUGGCUUAUAGGUAUUACUGGCACUAUUAAUCACAGAAUCACAGAAUAAGCUGAGUUGCAAGAUACCCAGAAGGGUCCUCAUGUCCAACUCCCAGCUCUGCACAGCACCAUCCCCAAGCAUCACACCAUGUGCCUGAGAGUGUUGUCCAAACACUCCUUGAGCUCUCUCAGGCUGGUGCUGUGACCAGUUCCUUGUGGAGCCUGUUCCAGUUCCCAGCUGCCAUCUGGGUGAAGGAUCUUGUUCUAAUAUCCAACCUAAACCUGUCCUGACAGAACUUCAGGCAAUUCCCUUUGAUCCUGUCACUGGUCACCACAGAGGAAAGAUUGGUGCCUGCCCCUCUGCCUUCCGUAGAUUCUCAGCUGUAGACUUGAGACUAGAGGUCUCCCCUCAGCCUCCUCCUCUCCAGGCUGAACAGACCAAGUGACCUCAGCUGCUCCUCAUACGGCUUCCCCUCGAGGCCCUCCACCAUUUUUGUUGCCUUCCUUUGGAUGCCCUCUAAUAGCUUAAUAAUAUGAUUCUAAUGUUGUGGCACCCAGACCUGCACACAGGGUUUGAGGUGAGGCCGCCGCAGUGCAGAGCAGAGUGGGACAAUCCCCUCUCUUGCCCAGCUGGUGAUGCUGUGCCAGGUGCACCCUAGGACAUGGCUGGCCCUUCAAUGUCACAUUGGGGGCCUGAGAUAAAACCCUUGCCUCCAUUUCUGCCCAGGGAGUCUUAGCCACUCUAAUGCAUCAAUAUUGAAUUAAAUUUAAAGCUAGUUAAGAGAAAGAAAGGUGUGACAAUUUCUGAAUUGGAAAGUGUAUGAAAUAUAAGCAUUCACUACAAAUUGA